rnacentral:misc_RNA from 1 species
UAUUCCUCAACACUGCUUGGCAUUUUCUUGCCUUGCUAGUUGUUGGAUGUUGAGGGCAUGCAGGUGAAAGCCUGCUCCUUUCAAAUAUAUGAGCAGUAGUAUAUGAAACCAGCUCCAAUUUGAUAAACUUGCUGUUGUCUGUGUUGUUGCUGGGAAAGGAGUAUCACACUGCUUCUAAAUGUCUUUGGACUGCCUUGUGCAAAUAUUUCUUA